UAUAAAGAACAACUGAUAUAAAUAACCGGCACUGCUUUCGUUUUAACAUAUGUGAAUUGAAAGAGAUCCGGUUAAGAUGGAUAAACUAACUCGUGAUAAUCGUGCCAGACAACUUAAUCAAAAUAAUGACGCCUAUUGGCAAUCGAGAGGUUAUUCUAAAAAACCAUCUAAUCAGAGUACAAAUUCUGGAAAUUCUAAUACCAAUAGCACUCAAAACCACACCAUGGAGUUUUUAAUAAUAGUUAUAGUAAUCAUUGCUUUUUAUAUAUAUUUUUUUGUUUAAAGUCAUGUCUUCUAUUUUGAGUCGAAAUACAAACUUUUUAAUAAUACUGUA